GCCCUUCGGGGUGGAUUAGUGGCGAACGGGUGAGUAACACGUGGGCAAUCUGCCCUUCACUCUGGGACAAGCCCUGGAAACGGGGUCUAAUACCGGAUAACACCGGCUUCCGCAUGGGAGCUGGUUGAAAGCUCCGGCGGUGAAGGAUGAGCCCGCGGCCUAUCAGCUUGUUGGUGGGGUAAUGGCCUACCAAGGCGACGACGGGUAGCCGGCCUGAGAGGGCGACCGGCCACACUGGGACUGAGACACGGCCCAGACUCCUACGGGAGGCAGCAGUGGGGAAUAUUGCACAAUGGGCGAAAGCCUGAUGCAGCGACGCCGCGUGAGGGAUGACGGCCUUCGGGUUGUAAACCUCUUUCAGCAGGGAAGAAGCGAAAGUGACGGUACCUGCAGAAGAAGCGCCGGCUAACUACGUGCCAGCAGCCGCGGUAAUACGUAGGGCGCAAGCGUUGUCCGGAAUUAUUGGGCGUAAAGAGCUCGUAGGCGGCUUGUCACGUCGGGUGUGAAAGCCCGGGGCUUAACCCCGGGUCUGCAUCCGAUACGGGCAGGCUAGAGUGUGGUAGGGGAGAUCGGAAUUCCUGGUGUAGCGGUGAAAUGCGCAGAUAUCAGGAGGAACACCGGUGGCGAAGGCGGAUCUCUGGGCCAUUACUGACGCUGA
rnacentral:rRNA from 1 species